GACGGAGGAUGCAAGCGUUAUCCGGAAUUAUUGGGCGUAAAGCGUCCGUAGGUGGUUUAGUAAGUCUGCUGUUAAAGCGCGGGGCUUAACUCCGUAUCGGCAGUGGAAACUACUAGACUAGAGUGUGGUAGGGGUAGAGGGAAUUCCCAGUGUAGCGGUGAAAUGCGUAGAUAUUGGGAAGAACACCGGUGGCGAAGGCGGCUACCUGGACCGGUACUGACGCUGAUGCGCGAAAGCUAGGGUAGCAAACAGG
rnacentral:rRNA from 1 species